rnacentral:rRNA from 1 species
UAGCCGUAAACGAUACUCGCUAGGUGUCGGCCACGGUGCGACCGUUGUCGGUGCCGUAGGGAAGCCGUGAAGCGAGCCACCUGGGAAGUACGGCCGCAAGGCUAAAACUUAAAGGAAUUGGCGGGGGAGCACCACAACGGGUGGAGCUUGCGGUUUAAUUUGGAUUCAACGCCGGAAAUCUUACCGGGACCGACAGCAACAUGAAGGCCAGGCUGAAGACUUUGCCGGAUUAGCUGAGAGGUGGUGCAUGGCGUCAGUG